AUUGACCGCUGGCGGCAGGCCUAACACAUGCAAGUCGAGCGGAGCGGCGGACGGGUGAGUAAUGCCUAGUAAUCUGAAUGGUAAUGGUGGAUAACGUCCGGUAACGGGCCCUAAUACAUCAUACUAUCACAUGAUCCUAGGGCGGGUUUGCUAGUUGGUGGGGUACAGGCAUACAAAGGGGACGAUCCGGAACGGGUAUGAGAGGAGGAUCAGUCACACUGGAACUGAGACAAGGUCAAGACUCCUACGGGAGGCAGAAGGGGGGAAUAUUGGACAAGUGGCGAAAGUCUGAUCCAGCCAUGCCGCGUGUGUGAAGAAGGUCUGCGGAUUGUAAAGCACUUUAAGUUGGGAGGCGUUACCAACAGAAGAAGCACCGGCUAACUUCGUGCCAGCAGCCGCGGUAAUUC
rnacentral:rRNA from 1 species